ACUGCUCAGUAACACGUGGACAACCUGCCCUUAGGUUGGGUAUAAACCCGGGAAACUGGGUAUAAUACCCGAUAGGUCUCGAUUGCUGGAAUGCAUCGAGAUUUAAAGCUCCGGCGCCUAAGGAUGGGUCUGCGGCCUAUCAGGUAGUAGUGGGUGUAGCGUACCUACUAGCCUACGACGGGUACGGGUUGUGAGAGCAAGAGCCCGGAGAUGGAUUCUGAGACACGAAUCCAGGCCCUAUGGGGUGCAGCAGGCGCGAAAACUUUACAAUGCUGGCAACAGCGAUAAGGGAACCUCGAGUGCCAGGUUACAAAUCUGGCUGUCGAGAUGCCUAAAAAGCAUUUCAUAGCAAGGGCCGGGCAAGACCGGUGCCAGCCGCCGCGGUAACACCGGCGGCUCGAGUGGUAACCGUUAUUAUUGGGUCUAAAGGGUCUGUAGCCGGCCGGAUAAGUCUCUUGAGAAAUCUGGCAGCUUAACUGUCGGGCUUUCAGGAGAUACUGUCUGGCUCGAGGCCGGGAGAGGUGAGAGGUACUUCAGGGGUAGGGGUGAAAUCUUGUAAUCCUUGAAGGACCACCAGUGGCGGAGGCGUCUCACCAGAACGGACCUGACGGCAAGGGACGAAAGCUAGGGGCACGAACCGGAUUAGAUACCCGGGUAGUCCUAGCCGUAAACGAUACUCGCUAGGUGUCGGCCACGGUGCGACCGUUGUCGGUGCCGUAGGGAAGCCGUUAAGCGAGCCACCUGGGAAGUACGGCCGCAAGGCUGAAACUUAAAGGAAUUGGCGGGGGAGCAC
rnacentral:rRNA from 1 species